rnacentral:pre_miRNA from 1 species
ACAAGGGAUGUUGACCUAGCCUCUCCUUGGCUUUGUCUGUGUUUACCACAUUUCAGACAUAGCCUGAUAGAGGUUACGUUUAGUCCCAUUUU